AGGACGAACGCUGGCGGCGUGCUUAACACAUGCAAGUCGAACGGUGAUAUCAGGGCUUGCUCUGGUUGAUCAGUGGCGAACGGGUGAGUAACACGUGAGUAACCUGCCCCUGACUCUGGGAUAACUUCGGGAAAUCGGAGCUAAUACCGGAUACGAGACGCAUCCGCAGUGGGUAGCGUCUAGGGAAAGUAUUUUAGUUGGUCUGGGAUGGACUCGCGGCCUAUCAGUCUUGUUGGUGAGGUAUGGCUCACCGAGGCGACG
rnacentral:rRNA from 1 species